AGACAUCUGGAUUUUAGCACUCGUACAUUUCUGGUGUUUUUGUUAUAGGUCUAAAAGAGUCUGGAACGGCGAGCGCGCGGGAAACCCGGGAUAAACAUGUUAGGAUCUCAACCAGUAUUUCGAAAUGGCGAUUGAAGUAAAAGCAAUAACAUCGCUAACAUCGAUAACAUAAUGAUCGAAGCGGCCAAUUAUAAGGAGUUGUACCAGGGUCGACGUUCUUAUAAAAAAAGUGUAUGCAGAAAAGCUUCUAAUACUUUCUGAUGAUCACAAUUGAACUAAACGCGGAAUCACGGGGAGGCCCAGUGGUUAGCACACUGGCCUCUCACCGCUGCGGUCCGAGUUCUUUUUUUUUUCUUUUUUGUUCCGAGUUCUAAUCCCGGCUCUGCACUCGGAAAAUUAUCUAAGUUCACAUCAGGAUUUGAAUAUGAUCAUUUAAGUGGGUUGUACUUGUUUCUCCUGUGUUUCCAUUCUUUCGGAAUAGACACAAGACCGGCUCCUUCGUUGACAAAUUUCUCUAAGACACGCGAAAUACAGCAUGUUUCAUUUUCUCUUGGCUUGGGCCGACGCCCUUUUUAUGACAUUCAGCGUUUGACAGUCUCGCCUACAUUGCCAUCUAAGCUAUCUAAACGAUCAUAUUCAGUGCCCUUAUCUCACAGAUUUAACCAAAUACAGUAUAAACCUCUACAAGCCCUCCCACUCGGUUCCACCUAACUCUCAUGAAUUCUUAUCCAAGGAGGAGGCUUUUGUUGUCUGAUUACUUCUAAGUUUACACCUGGUCGGUGAAUACAAUACACCAUUUGGUAUACGGAUAGAAAGCAAGCUCAUAAGUCUAGCCUACAGGCCCCAGGUUAGCGCGUCUUAAGCGACGAGCUUUUACCCUAAGGUGGAAGUUGCUAGGAUUACGCAGAGGCUAUUGUUUGAGAUACUGUUAUGCUAACUUAUAACGGCAGGAGUCUUUCUCGGAUAAAAGCGAUUACGCAUUCCAGUAACAGUUGGAAUUUGCUAGCUCAUAGCUGUUCUUGUAUAAAAACUUGUUUUGACUGCUUUGCGGCAUAACGAGCAAGAUUUUGAGUAGAACUCUGCAGCUACAGGACGAUGUGUUCUUUUUUCUAAGGAAAAAAGAAGGAAACCACCAUUUUAAUCCUUUCUACACAUAAAAGAGAAGGAAUCAUAUAUCAAGUGAGGCUUUCAGAAAAAAAUACAUUUAUUUGUCAGAAGGUGGAUUAUACGCCUUGGAUGAAUUUUUGUGGCAUUGUAUUUUCUUUUUCCAAUGCAAAAAGGGGAACCAAUUAGUUGUUUGUGGGAGCUGUGUAUUUUGACGUUAAAAUAAAUUAAGUUUUCCUGGUUUUGUUUUAUUUUUUUAAACCUUGUGUUUGGUGAUAUCACUUUUCGUGAAUGUAAGUAGAGCAGUUUCUUUUUGCAAAACAUUACGUAACGCAAUACCAACAGAACUAAUACUCCCACUUGCAUCGCCAACAAUUACCGUACAGACUAUUCUAGUGCGAUAUCUACGUAAGUUCACAGUAUGAAUCUAUCUUUAGUCCCAUCGCAGCGUAUAAGCGCGAAUUCAGAGCCUUAGAUUCCGGAAUUUCCGUCCGCUUGGCUAGUCGUGUUGAAAAUUAUUCUUUAGAAAGACGCAGAGCUCGUCGCGUGCCUGACAUUCCAGUGGGUUAAGCCAUAGCCCGGCAUGUGCCGGAGUGAUGAGUGUUUUGACUUACACAUCGUUAUUACGCUGUUAGGGAUCGCAUGAUUGAGUGACAUGACAUUUCCUGCGUGCCUUCCGCGUUACAUGUUAUUUAGGCAGACACGCCGUAGCCCUUCGAGACCAGAACAACAUAGACUAUCGUCCGAAGCACAUCUAAGCCACGCGUGCUACAGAACGAACUAAACUCAAGCCUGAUAUGAAGACCUCUACAUACAUAACCUUAUUAGCCACGCUAGUCAUUUUACUAGCCCUAAUGGUUGAUGACACGGAAGCGUAUGUGAAUUCCCUCACAGCAAGACGAGGCGUAAAAAGACAGCAAAAAAUGGACCGCAUGCGAAAACGCAUGGAAAAAGUCCUACGCUCACAUAAAAAGAUGCAAGAGAAAAUAGCCUAUUUCAAAAAGUGGAUUUCAAGAUAUAAGAAACAGUUGAAGGUGCAAUAUAGAGGGGGAGAUAGACGGAACUCCAGAUGAUACAGAGAGGAAAGGAAGCAAGAGGAAGAUGGGAACUAACGCCAAUAUCCGGCACUUCGAUGUCAAGUAGGCAUCCGCCAUGAGGUGCGAAAAUUGCUGAUGGCCGACCAGAUAAGGAGGGACAUUAAGUGACUCCAGGCUCGCCGAAAAAGGGGAUAAGAGAAUGAGUGGAUAUGCCAUGAUAUUCACCCGUGUGUGCUGCGGUUAUUGUGUUAUUCACCGCUAAAUGCAAGGCUUAUAAUAACGCUUUAUCGAGCUGGUUGCAAAAACAAAUGUUUGAUUGAACUUAGAAGAGCGCGAUUGAGCUGUGAAGAUUGAAGAACAUUGACUUUUAGGAGCAAAGUUAAGCAGGAUAGCUAUAUUAGAAACAUACUUGAGCUAGUUAAGAGUCACGAGUAUUUCACAACUAGUCGCCGAAGGCGAAGUCAAUAUAGGCGAAUAUCCUGCUGAGGCGUAGUCGAGGGAUUAUUCGCCCAUAUUAACAGCGCAAUAUGAACUAUCCUCUAGUUUGAUAAUCGAAGUGAUUUUUAAACCUUUUUUUGUUUUGAAAAUUAAUAUUUUCAGUCAAGCGAAUGUGCCAGCUAAAAACUGACAAAUUAGAGUGCGCAUUUUCUUAUAAUCACUUUGGUUAUCACACUAGUGACUAUUUCGUGAUAUUCACCCCAUGUUUCAUAUCCACUCAUCACGCCGCGUGCCAAGCUGGUCUUGGUGAAUUUAUUUAUUGGAUUAUCAUUAUUAUAACUGCAAAGUAAUAUAAAGCAUCAAUAGCAAAAGAUUAUAAAGAAAAUGAUGACAAUAUUUAUUAAUUAAAUAAAUCGAGAAAAUUGCAA